rnacentral:rRNA from 1 species
AGUGAACGCUGGCGGUAGGCCUAACACAUGCAGGUCGAACGGCAGCACAGUAAGAGCUUGCUCUUACGGGUGGCGAGUGGCGGACGGGUGAGGAAUACAUCGGAAUCUACUUUUUCGUGGGGGAUAACGUAGGGAAACUUACGCUAAUACCGCAUACGACCUACGGGUGAAAGCAGGGGAUCUUCGGACCUUGCGCGAUUGAAUGAGCCGAUGUCGGAUUAGCUAGUUGGCGGGGUAAAGGCCCACCAAGGCGACGAUCCGUAGCUGGUCUGAGAGGAUGAUCGGCCACACUGGAACUGAGACACGGUCCAGACUCCUACGGGAGGCAGCAGUGGGGAAUAUUGGACAAUGGGCGCAAGCCUGAUCCAGCCAUCCCGCGUGGGUGAAGAAGGCCUUCGGGUUGUAAAGCCCUUUUGUUGGGAAAGAAAAGCAGCAGGUUAAUACCCCGCUGUUCUGACGGUACCCAAAGAAUAAGCACCGGCUAACUUCGUG